ACAAGGUAGUGCUCCACUGGACAAUAUGUGAGUUGAUGUGCGUCAUACUGAGCCUGUGCAUUAAUACAAGAUAGUACUAUUUUGAGAUUAUCUACCACAGAUAAUGAAGUGAUGUUCCUCUCUUACAAGAGCUCUAGACUGAAGUUCAAAGAUGCACCUAGUGCAACCCAUCAAAUAUGUUGUAUUUUUAGCACUAGAUUUUAGAGCUAGCAGCAGUACUAUGAUUAAUAAGAACUAUGGAAUUAUUGUAAUAUAAUUUUUUUUUUGUAUUUUCCCUCACUUUUCAUUGGGAAUUGAAAUAUUGGAUAUUUAAUGUCAAAUCAUGAGAAACUGAGACCUAUCAGUUCGGUAAUAAUGAGAAUUUGAAACCUG